CAGCAGCUGGUUUUCCUCAAGCCCAGUACUCGCCGGAGUUAUUCCACACAAAGCCAUCAGCGUCUCAUAUGAUGAUCAUCAAAAGUGUCAUGAAUCACUAUCUGGACCCAGCCUAUUUUUAUUCUGCAUGCAAUGUGCCAAGAAGGAGCUGUGAUCAGCCAGCCCUGGUGAAUUGAGAGUCCAUCAGGACGGGAGCCUGAUUACUGAAAGACUGCGGCUCCACGAUAAGACCCAGACCCGGAAGACAGGCUUGGCUCAGCUGGGAGGGCAUUGUUUUCAGCCGAAAGGCCCCAAGAACAACUAAAGCAGGAUUCCUUUGAAACACUCUCUCCUGUCCAAAACAAUAGAUGCUGCUUGGAUGUCUGCCUGCACACUGUCAGAGCAAAGGGAGCUGCUGUUGGGUCGUG